UACGGGGGGGGCAAGCGUUGUUCGGAAUUACUGGGCGUAAAGGGCUCGUAGGCGGCCAACUAAGUCGGACGUGAAAUCCCCAGGCUCAACCUGGGAACUGCGUCCGAUACUGGAUGGCUUGAAUUCGGGAGAGGGAUGCAGAAUUCCAGGUGUAGCGGUGAAAUGCGUAGAUAUCGUAAGGAAGACCAGUGGCGAAGGCGAGUCUCUGGACAGUUACUGACGCUGAGGCACGAAGGCCAGGGGAGCAAACGGG
rnacentral:rRNA from 1 species